CUACGGGCGGCUCCAGUGGGGAAUUUUGCGCAAUGGGCGAAAGCCUGACGCAGCGACGCCGCGUGAGGGAAGAAGGCCUUCGGGUCGUAAACCUCUGUCAGAGGGGAAGAAAUUUCAGUCGGUUAAUACCCGGCAGGAUUGACGGUACCCUCAGAGGAAGCAUCGGCUAACUACGUGCCAGCAGCCGCGGUAAUACGUAGGAUGCAAGCGUUGCUCGGAAUUACUGGGUGUAAAGAGCGCGUAGGUGGCCUGAUAAGUCAGUGGUGAAAGCCCUCGGCUCAACCGAGGAAUUGCCCCUGAUACUGUCAGGCUUGAGUACUGGAGAGGAAAGCGGAAUUCCUGGUGUAGCGGUGAAAUGCGUAGAUAUCAGGAGGAACACCGGUGGCGAAGGCGGCUUUCUGGACAGAUACUGACACUGAGGCGCGAAAGCGUGGGGAGCAAACAGGAUUAGAUACCCGAGUAGUC
rnacentral:rRNA from 1 species